GUUUUUGGUCUUUUAAAUGAUAUAUAUAAAUGAUUUUUAAAGUAGGCUUAAAAUUUAUGAAUAAGAUACAUACAAAUUCGGGUAAUGAUAGUUAAGUGAGUAAUACAAGUUUGAAUUUAACUUUUAUAAAUUUAUUGGAUUAGUCGAUUAAAGGAUAAGUUGAUUUGUAUUGAGUGUGUAUAGUUUAUGAUUGAAUGAAUUCAUUGAAAUGGGCAUAUGUGUAUAAUAUAAUGACAUUAAAGGUAUGUAAGGCUAAAAUAUAAUGUUACUAAUGUUGCAUUUGUGAUUAGACAUUAAGUUGUAUACAUAUUGGUUUCAUUAUGUACAUAUGCAGAAGUUAUGAAAUGCAAAGUUUGAUA
rnacentral:lncRNA from 1 species